GAUGAACGCUGGCGGCGUGCCUAAUACAUGCAAGUCGAGCGAACAGACGAGGAGCUUGCUCCUCUGACGUUAGCGGCGGACGGGUGAGUAACACGUGGAUAACCUACCUAUAAGACUGGGAUAACUUCGGGAAACCGGAGCUAAUACCGGAUAAUAUAUUGAACCGCAGGGUUCAAUAGUGAAAGACGGUUUUGCUGUCACUUAUAGAUGGAUCCGCGCCGCAUUAGCUAGUUGGUAAGGUAACGGCUUACCAAGGCAACGAUGCGUAGCCGACCUGAGAGGGUGAUCGGCCACACUGGAACUGAGACACGGCCCAGACUCCUACGGGAGGCAGCAGUAGGGAAUCUUCCGCAAUGGGCGAAAGCCUGACGGAGCAACGCCGCGUGAGUGAUGAAGGUCUUCGGAUCGUAAAGCUCUGUUAUUCGGGAAGAACAAAUGUGUAAGUAACUAUGCACGUCUUGACGGUACCUAAUCAGAAAGCCACGGCUAACUACGUG
rnacentral:rRNA from 1 species